AAAUGGAUGAACAAUCAGAUCAGGAGAAUAGCUUUUAAUGACAUUUGCAGCUUCUUUUUCACAAAAUAUGUGGCUUUGGUCACUGCCGAAGAGCAUCGACGACAUCGAAGAAUAGUACGGAGCACCUGUGUAGUGCUGACAACCCCCAAAAACACCAACUCGACCGGCUUGACCUUUGUGGAAGGUAUCAAGAAGUGGUGGAAUGAUGCGCUUCACACGAGUCAGCAAAUUUGUAAUUUUGGG